UACGUAGGGGGCAAGCGUUGUCCGGAAUCAUUGGGCGUAAAGAGCGUGUAGGCGGUCCGGUAAGUCGGCUGUGAAAACUCGAGGCUCAACCUCGAGACGUCGGCGGAAACCAUCUGGCUAGAGUCCGGAAGAGGAGAGUGGAAUUCCCGGUGUAGCGGUGAAAUGCGCAGAUAUCGGGAAGAACACCCGUGGCGAAGGCGGUUCUCUGGGACGGUACUGACGCUGAGACGCGAAAGCGUGGGGAGCGAACAGG
rnacentral:rRNA from 1 species